CAAGCAAACAACCCUGUGGGCACCACAGAGCUGCACAAACAUUUGUCCCCACAGCCGACUGGCUUCCUCAGGCCAGUGCGCCUAAUGAGCUGGCUGUUACCCGUAAAUCAAGUCAAGCAUACACAGUUCGGGCUUUCAUCAGACGGGCUUGUCGUUAGUGGGAGGAAGCGUGCUGGGUUGCCAAGUACCAAGAGCGGACUGAUGUGACUUGUGAGCCAAGGAAAAGAAACACACACACACACACACACACACACACCCUCCCAAAGAGCCCAGCUGGAGGCAUGAGGAAAACAGAAGGCGUGAAAGGCUCACAUCCCAUCCUGUCACCCACGGAUGUGCCAUCACCAGGCAGUCAGCAGAGAUGUGGCACGUGUGGCUUCAGUGGGAUCUGUCAUGAGGACCUCCAGCAGUGCUGUGGACAGCUUGAUCACCAGCUUGUGGGGCCUCCUCCAGGGCCUUCCCAUCCAUUCCAUGCUGAAGCUCUCAGAGGCUCCUCUGCCUGUUUUAUGGCUUUUCUGUACUCCUCCUGUAGUUACACUCUAGAAGAUUAACUUCCAAUCAGAAAACAAAACAGAAACAGCAUAUGAUGAUUUCUUCCACUUUUGUUUUCUUUACCCAUCUAGGGCAAACUGUUUUUUCAUUCUGGUUUAGAAUCUUUCUCUACCUAGGACUUAGCAAGUGCUUGGCAAAUUUUAUAUUGCUUUUUUCAAAAUGCUUUUAUUCAUUUUAUUCAUUCAUUACUAAUAAUAACAUUCAGUAAAUAUUUACCCAGUACCCAAGAUACAUCAGACAC